AAUAUCUUGUGGCACACUGAGCAAACAAAGUCAGCCGAUCCUGGGGAAUUACGUGGACGAGGCUGGUGGAGAGAAAUGAGAAAUGAGCGAAGAAAGGCCAAAAUGAUACUACACCAAACUGAACAAGAAUUCUGAAAAGAGAUGGUUGCCAGUCCACUGGAAUGAUAGAAGGAGCUUCGGACCAUCAGUGCGGACCAGUCCAGCCUGGCAUCAGUCCUCGGUCUUUCUCCGGACCCUAGUAAAGACAUUUCCGUCCUCGCUGCUGUCUCACGUCCCAUACUGGCUCCAGGCUGAGAGACAGUGACCGUCUGUUUACUGUCGGCUCCACACGGACCUUGUUUCUUUUUGAUCAGGAAAGACCUUGGCAUCCUUUUGGUUCUCUUACUGCUGCUGUAUUACCUGGAUCACUGUGAAUGUUGGACUGAGAGCUUUGGGUAAGGUGGUGAUG